AUUUUACAGACUUAAGAGGUAUUGAGUGAAAGUAAAGUAUAUCACGUAUAUUCAUCAUUUAACACCAUUUAAAUGCAUUUAAAUAAGUUGGUAAGUGUUAGCAGUGGUACGAGUUUGCAUUGGUACAAGCUUUUUUUUUAGUGGUACGAGUUUACAAUGGUACGGGAUAACUAUAAUUCGAUAAAACACAAUAAGUACAUGGCUCAUACACUUGUAACCGGGAUUGGCUAUUUUUAAAGUUGAGUGACUAUUCAGAUUAUUACAUUUUGCAUGUGCAGUUGAAAUAGUUUUGAAAAUAAUACUAUUCAGCUGUACCAGGGUUGCCGGCCAAAAAUGCUUGACACUCAAGCAUGUUCAUGCUUUUUUGCGGCAGUAUCCUUGAUUUGAUUUUUCAAAUUUUGACCAAAUCUCACGCAUUUGCUUAAUGAAAAUUUGGCAGAACUGCUAUACAUGUGUCAAUGAAAACUGUGGCAAUCGUAUCCCUCAGAGCAUUCUGCUCUUUGAUUUUUUAUUUUAUUGUAAUAAUUUUUCAUAUCAGGCUUUGAUUUUUAGUAAUUUUUUGCACAUUUUUGCAGCUGUUCAAUGAAUUUAGUAUAUACCUUAUUGAAAUGAUGUUGUUUGGAAUUAACUGAAGCCAAAUGUAUGUACUAAUAUAUGGAUGCGAGGACAUAAAUCUUGUUUCAUACUAGUAAAAUAACUUGUUAUUUGAAAUAUUUGUUUUACGUUUGGAUCUGUUUACCGAAAAAGGAAAUGAUAGAAUCUCUUUUUAGUUUUUAACCCUUCAAUAUUUUUUUUUGUAUUCAACUAUUUCACUUGAGUUAUGUGACUUUGAUAUAUAUAUCCAUCACAUUUGCAUAUUAUUUUAUCACAGGCGAAUCAAAGUUAUCUUCAUUUUUUUGCUCUUAUACAUGAUCAUGAUACUAAUUUAAUUGUGUUUGAUAGCUAUUUGUAUUUAGCAAAUUAGCUUGUAAAAAUGAUAAUAUAACCAUACAAGCACAGAGGAAAAUUUGAAUAUUGUAGUAUUUUUUUGUAUGUAUAGUCAUAACAUAGUAAAUGAUUAUAAGUGAAUGAAUUGUAAAAUAUGUAAGACAUUAGCUUUUUGGUAUGUUAUUGAAAGCUAAGCUGAUGCAAAUGUUUUUGUUAAUUUGUUAAAUAUUUUCAUACAAAAUAAAAGUUUUUUUUUACUUUAA
rnacentral:lncRNA from 1 species